rnacentral:rRNA from 1 species
GGAAUAUUGGGCAAUGCCCGAAAGGGUGACCCAGCAACGCCGCGUGGAGGAUGAAGGUCGUAAGAUUGUAAACUCCUGUUAGAGGGGAAGAAUAACUAAGUUUGGAGCUUAGUAUGACUGUACCCUCAGAGAAAGCCCCGGCUAACUACGUGCCAGCAGCCGCGGUAAUACGUAGGGGGCAAGCGUUGUCCGGAUUUACUGGGUGUAAAGGGCGCGCAGGCGGAAUGGAAAGUCAGUGGUGAAAUCCUACAGCUUAACUGUAGAACUGCCUUUGAUACUUUCAUCCUUGAGUUCGGGAGAGAGAGACGGAAUUCCAGGUGUAGUGGUGAAAUAUGUAGAUAUCUGGAAGAACACCAGUUGCGAAGGCGGUCUCUUGGUCCGACACUGACGCUGAGGCGCGAAAGCGUGGGGAGCAAACA